rnacentral:rRNA from 1 species
AGAGUUUGAUCCUGGCUCAGAUUGAACGCUGGCGGCAUGCUUUACACAUGCAAGUCGAACGGCAGCACGGGGGCAACCCUGGUGGCGAGUGGCGAACGGGUGAGUAAUGCAUCGGAACGUAUCCUUGAGUAGGGGAUAGCGCAGCGAAAGUUGUGCUAAUACCGCAUAAGCUCUGAGGAGGAAAGCGGGGGACCGAAAGGCCUCGCGCUGAAGGGGCGGCCGAUGUCCGAUUAGCUAGUUGGUGAGGUAAAGGCCUACCAAGGCUACGACGGGUCGCUGGUCUGAGAGGACGACCAGCCACACUGGCACUGAGAUACGGGCCAGACUCCUACGGGAGGCGAC